AUGGGAAACCCUGUUGAUGCACCUAAACCCUAUCAAUGGAUAUGGAAAUCAUGCUCUUUACCAAAGCAGAAAUUCUUCUUCUGGCUCUUGUUACAAGACAGAUUAAACACUAGAGAUCUACUAAAAAGGAAGAAUUUCUACAAUGAGACUAGUAAGUGUGAAUUAUGUGAUGAUGAACCUAAUGAACAUUUAAUGCAUCUGUUUUUUAGCUGUGAUUUCAGUCAAAACUUCUGGAUGAACAUUGGCUACCAAUGGAACACUGAUCAUAACCUCAUAGAAAUGCUCCUGGAGGGAAGGAAGCAAGAUACACAUGGAUGCUUUAAAGAAUGUCUGAUUGCUGGAUGCUGGAGUCUAUGGAAACACAGAAAUAGCAUAAUUUUUUACAACAAGGUCAAAAAUAUGACAUUCUGUAUUGCCACUUUCAAGGAGCACUUUUGCAUGAUUAUAAAGAAGGCAAAACCAGGAUUGAAAGAGGGCAUGCAAAGCUGGCUAGAUCAUUUGUAG
rnacentral:rRNA from 1 species